AGCCACUUAUGUGUCACGGACCCGCGAUAUAUUGGAGGCCGUCCAAUUCUGCGGAAAUUAUUAAAGCUAUGUAAACGGUCAGCCAAUUUCUACCCGAAAUAUAGAUCUGGGUCUCGACCUAUUUUCGUUUCCCCAUACGAAGUGCCGAGGAGUGCCCAGAUGUGAAGCCGGCGGCAACGACUGUCGUUUUUUUUAUAUCCAUCAGUGUAACCGCUGAUUCCUAUUUUUAUGCUAUAGUGUCAUUAGUGUAAUUAGCUUAGUAAAUUUCUUUUGGUUGUGUUUUUAAAUUCUGUUCGGAAGAAAUAGCAAGUGGAAUGUGUGACAGGGCGAAAGUGAACAACGGUUAAACGGCAGAGGAGAGCGUGAGUUUUUUUUUUGUAAAAGUAUUUCUCCAGCUUUCGUUUUAGGAACGUUGCCGCAGUCCAUGGAAGCGCUUUCAUCGCUGUUUCAACGCAUUUAUUAAAACAAAUCAAAGGAAGGCCUCAGGGGCUUCGUCGCUUAAGAGAGGCUGUGCGCUCUCCCUUAUGCCCUGCUGGCAACCAUAAGCGCUUACGCCGCGCAUAAGAACCAGCCCUCUUAAGAACAAGGCACAAAAGGGAAGAUGCGAGGCUGGUCGCUCUGACGUUCUUUUAUGCUUUCUACUUGCGGUUGCUUUCGCUAAUGCACUUGAAUAACUGACCUGCCAUAACGAUCGCGGCGCACAGUUUUUACAUUCCCUUUUGCAUA